GGCUCAGAACGAACGCUGGCGGCGUGGAUAAGACAUGCAAGUCGAGCGAUGAUCCAACGAUAGCAAUAUUGGAGGGGAUUAGCGGCGAACGGGUGAGUAACACGUAGGAAUCUACCCUGAAGUUCGGAAUAGCCCAACGAGAGUCGGGAUAAUACCGGAUGUGAUCUUCGGAUUAAAGGCUUCGGCCGCUACAGGAUGAGCCUGCGCUCCAUCAGCUUGUUGGUAGGGUAAAAGCCUACCAAGGCGAGGACGGAUAGCUGGUCUGAGAGGACGGCCAGCCACAAUGGAACUGAGACACGGUCCAUACACCUACGGGUGGCAGCAGUCGAGAAUCAUUCACAAUGGGCGAAAGCCUGAUGGUGCGACGCCGCGUGGGGGAUGAAGGCCUUCGGGUCGUAAACCCCUGUCGGUUGCGAGUAAGGCCCGGCUUACGUCGGGAUUGAUAUUAGCAACAAAGGAAGGGGCGGCUAACUCCGUGCCAGCAGCCGCGGUAAUACGGAGGCCCCAAGCGUUGUUCGGAUUUACUGGGCGUAAAGCGUGCGUAGGCGGCGAGGUAAGUUUGGCGUGAAAGCCCCGGGCCCAACCCGGGAAAUGCGCUGAAAACUACCUCACUAGAGGUGUGGAGGGGAGUCUGGAAUUCCUGGUGUAGCAGUGAAAUGCGUAGAUAUCAGGAGGAACAUCAGUGGCGAAGGCGAGACUCUGGAAACAUUCUGACGCUGAGGUACGAAGGCUAGGGUAGCGAAGAGGAUUAGAUACCCUCGUAGUCCUAGCAGUAAACGGUGUGCACUUGCUGUGGGAGGAUUCGACCCCUUCCGUGGCGAAGCUAACGCAUUAAGUGCACCGCCUGGGGAGUACGGCCGCAAGGUUAAAACU
rnacentral:rRNA from 1 species